CAGAAUCAUAUUGCAAAGAGAGGCACCGCUCACGACCUGGCGCUAUGGUUUCUCUGGCGGCUCAGGUUCUCACAUCAAUGGGGUUGCGCCCAAAGGUGCUGAGGCUGGAUCCAUUCUAUGAUGACUUAUGUGCUGAUAAGAGAGAUGUAGCGGUAGAUGGGGUGUAUUUGCUGGACUCAAGCCGAUCUCACAGCCACGAGGAGGUGCAGGUUGCUGCGGAUUGGUGGUACAAUGAUUUGUUGGAAGGACUCAACUGUUAAAUUCAUCACUGAACCUCGACGAUUGGAGUGGUCUUUUCGGUUGCUUGGAAGGAAGCUCAGUCAUCUAACCACAAGAUUUGAAAUUUCAGCCAACACUGUUACUUGGCUUAGCAUGCAAGAACUGAAGAUGAGAUAUUAAUUUCUUAAAGUUUGUCCUCAGUUCAACAAGUUUCUAAGACCGAUAAUAUCCAAGAGAUCUUUCAUAGGCCCCUCUCUACCCAAGCUUUUGGCCAGUUCCGACAAGUUCAAUUAACAUUAGCUCACACCACUCUCACACCUGGCUAGUUAGGAUAUAUGGAGCUACUGUUGAAAUUCUGCAACCUUUUCUGCUGCCAAACUUUGCAGAGUUCUAAUUGAAGGACGGAUGGCACACCUUGCAUUUAAGAAGAUUUGGAAAUCGGUAGGGAGUUAGAGAUACCAAAUUUUUUGUUGGUUUCUCAUCGAAGAUAGGCUAAACACAAGAAGUCUGCUUCUCAGGAAAUCAUUUCACCUCCCCUCCUACCAAUGUGCGCUAUGUAAUGAGAAAAUUGAAGAGACCACAUUGUACCGCUUUUUGGACUGCUCAUUUGCUCUGCAAUGCUGGGACUUGAUCGCCCCUAAUAAGAAAAGGGACACAUAUGUUAUUCAAGAAAUCAUGCUGGCUAAGAAUGAAUUACCAAAUGGAGUGGCCAUGAUAGUGUCAUUAUGGGUUGUUGGCAUAUUUGGAUGCAAAGGAACAAAAAGAUAUUUAAGCAUAUUGAUCCGAUCACCACAUCAUGGAAGCUGCUACACAAGAAAGAUUUACAGUUGCUACAGCAUAGAACUAAGCACUAGCUCCUUCAAGUUUUUUAAGACCGGAUUGCCACACUUUCGUAGUCUGAAAGAUCCUUGAGUUAGACAUGUUUCCAAGAGUAGGCAUUGGUUAGAUGGGCUUGGCCAUCUCCUUUUCUUUUUGACCCCUUUUGUACAUACAUCUUUAAUUGCUUUUAGUGCAAAUUAGUAUAUAACAAUUGUUAUAAGGUCUCUAGCUAAAAAAACAUGUCUGAAGAA